rnacentral:rRNA from 1 species
ACUCAAAUGAAUUGACGGGGGCUCACACAAGCGGUGGAGCAUGUGGCUUAAUUCGAGGCUACGCGCAAAACCUUAUCCUGGGCUUGACAUGCACGGAUUAGCUAGCGGAAACGUUAGUGAGGCCGCAAGGUACAACGUGCACAGGUGCUGCAUGGCUGUCGUCAGCUCGUGUCGUGAGAUGUUGGGUUAAGUCCCGUAACGAGCGAAACCCUUGCCUCUAGUUGCCAGCGGGUCAUGCCGGGAACUCUAGAGGGACCGCCGGCGUUAAGCCGGAGGAAGGCGGGGAUGACGUCAAGUCCUCAUGGCCCUUAUGCCCAGGGCUGCACACGUGCUACAAUGGGCCGGACAGAGCGUCGCUAUGCCGCAAGGCCUCGCUAAUCGCAAAAACCGGCCCUCAGUUCGGAUUGCGGGCUGCAACCCGCCCGCAUGAAGCUGGAAUCGCUAGUAAUCGCGGAUCAGCAUGCCGCGGUGAAUGGGUUCCUGAGCCUUGUACACACCGCCCGU